rnacentral:lncRNA from 1 species
CUACUAUUAUAGUUUAAUCAUUUUAUAAUGUACACCUCUUUAGACGGUGGUUGGGACAUUUGAUAAACAAGAAUUUAAGACAUCGUUGUUUAAUAAGAUAACAUUACAACCGUACUUUAGGUAGCAAUACACAGUUAGGAAAAAAACAUAAAAUUGACACUCAUAAUUUUUAAACACCCUCUUUCCCCUCCUGUCUAAUAAAGAAGGCUUUAUAUGCGUUUUAUGCAUGUAUAUACUUAUAGAAAGAGAAUCUUCCAUAGAUUGGAUUUAUUAUGGUCAGAAGGGUGAAAUAUAAUCCCUUUUGGGUGUAACCAUGGCAACAAUCUGCAUUUCUUAGAUACAAAAUAUAGCAACAAAGGGGGGUGAACAUGUCACAAAAGUCUCGAAAAUUUGGUCUAAAGGAAAAUUUCAAUCAAUUACAGUGAUACCUUUCCUAAAUCUAUAGGUUUAUAUCUUUCAAGUGGUCCAAAAAAAAAAAAAAAAAAUCAUAUGCAUUUCUGCUCGUUUUUCCAUAAAAUUGAAUUGAAAAGAUCGAGUGCAAAAUCAUUGUUGAUAAACACUACAAUAAUUUAUGGACGGUACGGAUAGGAAAAUACGGACUGUCAAUCAUAUAAAUGGCCUAUAAAACAUAUUAAAAACAUUCUAAAUGUUCAUAUAAACCCACUAAGAAGGCUAUAUUAUUCUUCAUGUAUCUAAAAAUCAAUUUUAAUGUACAAAAACUUUCAUAUUUAAAAAAUUCACAGGGGCCAUAAUGCGAAACUAAACUUCUAACUGUGUAUUGCUACCUUAAUGACAAACAAUAGUUCUUCUGCGUCACACAACCGUACAUGUACUGCGUCAAAUAAUAAAACGUCAGCGUCGAACAAUCAUCCUUGAGA